AACAAACGCUGGCGGCGUGCCUAACACAUGCAAGUCGUACGAGAAAGGGUCCUUCGGGAUCUGAGUAAAGUGGCGCACGGGUGAGUAACGCGUGGAUAAUCUGCCCCUCAGUUGGGAAUAACUCAUCGAAAGGUGGGCUAAUACCGAAUAAUACUGUGAGACUUUGGUCGAUCAGUCAAAGAGAGCCUCUGGUUGCAAGCCCUCGCUGAAGGAUGGGUCCGCGUACCAUUAGCUAGUUGGUAGGGUGAUGGCCUACCAGGGCGACGAUGGUUAGCUGGUCUGAGAGGAUGAUCAGCCACACUGGAACUGAGACACGGUCCAGACUCCUACGGGAGGCAGCAGUGAGGAAUCUUGCGCAAUGGGGGCAACCCUGACGCAGCAACGCCGCGUGAGUGAGGAAGGUCUUCGGAUCGUAAAGCUCUGUCAGUUGGGAAGAACUACCCAAGGGUGAAUAUCUCUUGGGCUUGACGGUACCAACAGAGGAAGCACCGGCUAACUCCGUGCCAGCAGCCGCAGUAAAAC
rnacentral:rRNA from 1 species